rnacentral:rRNA from 1 species
UACGAAGGGAGCUAGCGUUGUUCGGAAUCACUGGGCGUAAAGCGCACGUAGGCGGAUGUGUCAGUCAGAGGUGAAAUCCCGGAGCUCAACUUCGGAACUGCCUUUGAUACAGCACGUCUUGAGUCCGAUAGAGGUGGGUGGAAUUCCUAGUGUAGAGGUGAAAUUCGUAGAUAUUAGGAAGAACACCGGUGGCGAAGGCGGCCCACUGGAUCGGUACUGACGCUGAGGUGCGAAAGCGUGGGGAGCGAACGGG